rnacentral:rRNA from 1 species
UACGGAGGGGGCUAGCGUUGUUCGGAAUUACUGGGCGUAAAGCGCACGUAGGCGGCUUUGUAAGUUAGAGGUGAAAGCCCGGGGCUCAACUCCGGAAUUGCCUUUAAGACUGCAUCGCUAGAAUUGUGGAGAGGUAAGUGGAAUUCCGAGUGUAGAGGUGAAAUUCGUAGAUAUUCGCAAGAACACCAGUGGCGAAGGCGGCUCACUGGCCCGGUACUGACGCUGAGGUGCGAAAGCGUGGAGAGCAAACAGG